rnacentral:rRNA from 1 species
GGGUGACGAGUGGCGGACGGGUGAGUAAUGUCUGGGGAUCUGCCCGAUAGAGGGGGAUAACCACUGGAAACGGUGGCUAAUACCGCAUAACGUCGCAAGACCAAAGAGGGGGACCUUCGGGCCUCUCACUAUCGGAUGAACCCAGAUGGGAUUAGCUAGUAGGCGGGGUAAUGGCCCACCUAGGCGACGAUCCCUAGCUGGUCUGAGAGGAUGACCAGCCACACUGGAACUGAGACACGGUCCAGACUCCUACGGGAGGCAGCAGUGGGGAAUAUUGCACAAUGGGCGCAAGCCUGAUGCAGCCAUGCCGCGUGUAUGAAGAAGGCCUUCGGGUUGUAAAGUACUUUCAGCGGGGAGGAAGGCGAUGCGGUUAAUAACCGCGUCGAUUGACGUUACCCGCAGAAGAAGCACCGGCUAACUCCGUGCCAGCAGCCGCGGUAAUAC